CUGAUGCGCGUCGACCGGAACCUCGGAC
rnacentral:piRNA from 1 species